GCCUGGGUGGCUCAGUCGGUUGAGUGUCUGACUUUGGCUCAGGUCAUGAUCUCACGGUUUGUGGGUUCAAGCCCCACGUCGAGGUC
rfam:Felis catus isolate Cinnamon breed Abyssinian chromosome E3, whole genome shotgun sequence.